GCAGAUCCAUUUUCUGCCACCGAAUACAUUAGCAUGGGAUAAUGGAAUAGGACCCUGUCCUCCUAUUUUCAGUUGGUUUUGGCAGCGCGAGGACUAGGGUAAUGAUUAAUAGGGAUAGUUGGGGGCAUUAAUAUUUAAUUGUCAGAGGUGAAAUUCUUGGAUUUAUGAAAGAUUAACUUCUGCGAAAGCAUCUGCCAAGGAUGUUUUCAUUAAUCAAGAACGAAAGUUAGGGGAUCGAAGACGAUCAGAUACCGUCGUAGUCUUAACCAUAAACGAUGCCGACCAGCGAUUAGGAGACGUUGAAUACAAAACACCACCAUCGGCGCGGUCGUCCUUGGCGUCUCGGUUUCUGGCGGGGCCCGGGGGCGGCUUAGGCUGGUGGCGCCGGUGAAUGACUCUCCUUCCCCCU
rnacentral:rRNA from 1 species